rnacentral:rRNA from 1 species
GUGCCAGCCGCCGCGGUAAUACCGGCAGCCCGAGUGAUGGCCGCUAUUAUUGGGCCUAAAGCGUCCGUAGCCGGCCAGACAAGUCCGUUGGGAAAUCGGCGCGCUCAACGCGUCGGCGUCCGGCGGAAACUGUCUGGCUUGGGGCCGGAAGACUCGAGGGGUACGUCCGGGGUAGGAGUGAAAUCCCGUAAUCUUGGACGGACCGCCGGUGGCGAAAGCGCCUCGAGAAGACGGACCCGACGGUGAGGGACGAAAGCUGGGGUCUCGAACCGGAUUAGAAACCCUUGUAGUCC